UACGUAGGGUGCGAGCGUUGUCCGGAUUUAUUGGGCGUAAAGAGCGUGUAGGCGGUUAGGUAGGUCCGUUGUGAAAACUCGAGGCUCAACCUCGAGACGCCGAUGGAAACCAUCUAACUAGAGUCCGGAAGAGGAGAAUGGAAUUCCUGGUGUAGCGGUGAAAUGCGCAGAUAUCAGGAGGAACACCAAUAGCGAAGGCAGCUCGCUGGGACGGUACUGACGCUGAGGUGCGAAAGCGUGGGGAGCAAACAGG
rnacentral:rRNA from 1 species